AGCUUUGCGCAGUGGCAGAAUUGUAGCCAAUGAGGUGUAUCCGAGGCACGAUUAUUGCUAAUUGAAACCAAAGGAGAAUAUUUCUAAUGUAUCUCUUGAGAAUUCUAAAAACAUGCAGAGAAUAGCCUAGUGGUCAAAGAGUAGGAUAUGGAGAUAUUCCUGGAUUUUCUAUACUCACUAAUAAGGUG
rnacentral:snRNA from 1 species